ACUUACGGCCAUACCAUCCUGAAUACGCCUGAUCUCGUCUGAUCUCGGAAGCUAAGCAGGGUCCGGCCUGGUUAGUACUUGGAUGGGAGACCACCUGGGAAUACCAGGUGCAGUAAGUG
rnacentral:rRNA from 1 species